UACAGAGGUCUCAAGCGUUGUUCGGAUUCAUUGGGCGUAAAGGGUGCGUAGGCGGCGCGGUAAGUCGGGUGUGAAAUCUCGGAGCUUAACUCCGAAACUGCAUUCGAUACUGCCGUGCUUGAGGACUGGAGAGGAGACUGGAAUUUACGGUGUAGCGGUGAAAUGCGUAGAUAUCGUAAGGAAGACCAGUGGCGAAGGCGGGUCUCUGGACAGUUCCUAACGCUGAGGCACGAAGGCCAGGGGAGCAAACGGG
rnacentral:rRNA from 1 species